AAUGAACAUUUGGGUCAUUUCAACGAACACUAACGGUUUUUCAGAAAUACAAUUUGCCUCAACAAGGAACAGAUAUCUAUAGCUUCACUAGUAUACAAAGAUAAUAUCUAGUACAAAUAUCAAACUUUCCCCAAACUACAAUGUUUAAACAAUUAUUUUUCCAGAUAUAGUCAAUAAAACUAACAAACAAAGCCAAAGUAGCAAUCACCACAAAAUGU
rnacentral:misc_RNA from 1 species